rnacentral:tRNA from 1 species
AUUAUCUUAGUAUAAAAAGUACAGAUGCCUUCCAAGCAUAAGGUUUCCACACGAAAGGUAAUA